rnacentral:rRNA from 1 species
UGAACGCUGGCGGCAGGCCUAACACAUGCAAGUCGAACGAGGUAGCAAUACCUAGUGGCGGACGGGUGAGUAACGCGUGGGAACGUGCCCCUUGGUACGGAAUAGCCCCGGGAAACUGGGAGUAAUACCGUAUGAGCUCGAAAGAGGAAAGAUUUAUCGCCAAGGGAUCGGCCCGCGUUGGAUUAGGUAGUUGGUGGGGUAAUGGCCUACCAAGCCGACGAUCCAUAGCUGGUUUGAGAGGAUGAUCAGCCACACUGGGACUGAGACACGGCCCAGACUCCUACGGGAGGCAGCAGUGGGGAAUCUUAGACAAUGGGGGAAACCCUGAUCUAGCCAUGCCGCGUGAUCGAUGAAGGCCUUAGGGUUGUAAAGAUCUUUCAGAUGGGAAGAUAAUGACGGUACCAUCAGAAGAAGCCCCGGCUAACUCCGUGCCAGCAG